UGGGGAAUUUUGGACAAUGGGCGAAAGCCUGAUCCAGCAAUGCCGCGUGUGUGAAGAAGGCCUUCGGGUUGUAAAGCACUUUUGUCCGGAAAGAAAUCCUUGGCUCUAAUACAGUCGGGGGAUGACGGUACCGGAAGAAUAAGCACCGGCUAACUACGUGCCAGCAGCCGCGGUAAUACGUAGGGUGCAAGCGUUAAUCGGAAUUACUGGGCGUAAAGCGUGCGCAGGCGGUUUGCUAAGACCGAUGUGAAAUCCCCGGGCUCAACCUGGGAACUGCAUUGGUGACUGGCAGGCUAGAGUAUGGCAGAGGGGGGUAGAAUUCCACGUGUAGCAGUGAAAUGCGUAGAGAUGUGGAGGAAUACCGAUGGCGAAGGCAGCCCCCUGGGCCAAUACUGACGCUCAUGCACGAAAAGCGUGGGGAGCAAAACAGGAUUAGAUACCCUGGUAGUCCACGCCCUAAAACGAUGUCAACUAGUUGUUGGGGGAUUCAUUUCCUUAGUAACGUAGCUAACGCGUGAAGUUGACCGCCUGGGGAGUACGGUCGCAAGAUUAAAACUUAAAGGAAUUGACGGGGUCAUAGCUGUUUCCU
rnacentral:rRNA from 1 species